UUUAAAUUCUUUAAUUUAUCGUAAAGGACUUCUCAUGUGACGUCACACUGUACGGAACAUAGUUGUUGAACCGUUCCUUGUCGUUUAAUUCGUGUUCCGUGAGAGUUUGACGUUUUCCUCGCUGACUGUGGGAGGAAUACAAGAAUCUACAGGUCGAGCAAGUCUCGUAAAUUUCACGAUUGCGAGCCACGCUUCACGCAACCGUGUUUGCGUACUUGUGUUUCGAGUUGCGUGGUCGUGCGGAGUUAUAUUUACCAAAUUUAAAUGUAAUCGUUUCUACUGAUAAUAAUAUACUAUUCUCAAUAUGGCUACUGGGUGUAAAAGAUAAAUCUUAUUCUAUCUGUUCUUCAUGAGUUUUAGAUAAUUUUAGUUGUAUUUCUUUGUAAUUUUGUGUUGUACAAAGAUUAAUUUAACAUUUUCUCUGGAAGUAUUAAUUUAGAAAGAUAAUAUGCUUCAUUGGUGUUGUGUUUUGAAGUGUGAAAUGCAAAGUAAUUGUGAAGUCAAGAUAAAGUUCACUUUUAAACUGAACUAAAUAAGGUAUCUGAGAGACAACAAUGGUUAAAUGCAAUACAAUGUACAGGUUUUACUAGCGAAAUGAAAAUUUUCCUGUCCUGUCUGCUGUAAUCAUUUUAUAUCUGGUAAGUUACAAUUACAACAGUAACGAUUUUUGAAGAUGUUAACAUUUUAAUCUUAUAGGAAAAUAGGAAAACCAGCCGACUUAAUCGAUAAUAACAAUCUCCAGAUUGGGUUCCUUCAAUAAAUAUGGGCUAUAAACACAAUGAAAUAAGUUCCCCAAAAUCUAAAAUGGAGUGGUAUCAAAGGAGAAUUAAAGGAAAUAAUAUUCAUAUUGAAAUUAUUUAUAAGGCACUGGACUGUCUUAAAUUCUACAAUAAUACUAGAAUCAGCUGAGAGAAGUGGUCUACAAAAAACCAGGAAGGAAACGGAAUAUGUGGCUACGAAAGGCAAAAGAAAGGUUUACAAAGCAAAUGUGACACAUUUUUUUAAAAUAUUUAGGAAUAUCAGUAAAUUGCAUUAAAAAAUGUAUGAAAAGAUUUUGUUCAAUAAAAAUGUUUAUAUUUA